CUCUCUCUCUCUCUCUCUCUCUCUCUCUCUCUCCCUCUCUCUCUCUCUCUCUCUCUCUCUCUCUCUCUCUCUCAUAGGGCUGACAACAAUAGGGCAUACUCAGCCCUUGCCAAUCUAUAUUCAGCUUUGGGAGAUCAUGGAAGGAUGCUGCUGAAAUUAGAAAAUCAAUGAGAGAUAGAGGAGUGAAGAAAGAGUAAGGAUUCAGCUGGUUUUAGAUAUAGAACAAAGUCCAUGUCUUUGGGAGAGAAUAUGGGCUUCUCCCACAAAAGAAUGCUAUAUAUGAUAUGGUACCAAAUAUCUAGAAAAACAUAAAAAACAUAGGUUUCAUUCUGCGAAUUAGAUGUUAAAUAAUGCUUAAUUUAUCUUGAUUUCUAUGUAUGUAUGUGGUUUAACCAUAUGUGUUGAACAAUUGUGCUCAAGUUUUCCUGGAUAUUUCAUCGUUCUAUUUGACUACUGAAAUUAUUUUUUUGC